rnacentral:rRNA from 1 species
UUGUCUUCUAAAUAAAGACUAGUAUGAACGGCUAAAUGAGGACAAAACUGUCUCUUACAGCUAAUCAGUGAAACUGAUCCCCCAGUACAAAAGCUGGGAUAAAACCAUAAGACGAGAAGACCCUGUGGAGCUUUAAACUUACCGCUAAUAAACACUUACAAUUGUGUUCCUAGCCCAAAGUUUUAAGUUGGGGCGACUUCGGAAAAAAACAAAACUUCCGAGCACAGAACCACCACUUCUCACCAAGGCCAACAAGCCAAAGCAAAACCUGACCCAGUCACACUGACCAACGAACCAAGUUACCCCAGGGAUAACAGCGCUAUCUUCUUCAAGAGUUCCUAUCGACAAGAAGGUUUACGACCUCGAUGUUGGAUCAGGACACCCAAAUGGUGCAGCCGCUAUUAAAGGUUCGUUUGUUCAACGAUU